AACGAUGAUCACUAGCUGUCUGCGAUACAUCGUAAGUGGUUAAUCGAAAGCGAUAAGUGAUCCACCUGGGGAGUACGUCGGCAACGAUGAAACUCGAAGGAAUUGACGGGGGCCCGCACAAGCGGAGGAGCAUGUGGUCUAAUUCGAUGAUACGCGAGGAACCUUACCUGGGCUUUGAACGUAUGGUGCAUGAGCGUGAAAGCACUCUUUCCUUCACAGGACUUCAUACGAGGUGCUGCAUGGUUGUCGUCAGCUCGUGCCGUGAGGUGUUAGGUUAAGUCCUGCAACGAGCGCAACCCCUGUUUUUAGUUGCCACGCAGGUUAUGCUGGGCACUCUAGACACGCCUGCCUGCGCAAGCAGAGAGGAAGGUGGGGAUGACGUCAAAUCAGCACGGCCCUUACGUCCAGGGCUACACACGUGCUACAAUGGUCGGCACAGAGGGUGGCUACCCGGCAACGGGAUGCUAAUCUCCAAAGUCGAUCUUAGUUCGGAUCGAAGUCUGCAACUCGACUUCGUGAAGUUGGAUUCGCUNGUCCUCGCCUAUCAGCCAUGAUACGGUGAAUACGUUCCCGGGCGUUGUACACACCGCCCGUCAAGCCAUGGAAGUUGGCGUACACUCGAAUCGGUUACCGUAAGGG
rnacentral:rRNA from 1 species